rnacentral:rRNA from 1 species
UCGAGAAUUUUUCACAAUGGGCGAAAGCCUGAUGGAGCGACGCCGCGUGGGGGAUGAAUGGCUUCGGCCCGUAAACCCCUGUCAUUUGCGAACAAAUCUUGUCGGUUAACAACCGGCAAGUUGAUUGUAGCGAAAGAGGAAGGGACGGCUAACUCUGUGCCAGCAGCCGCGGUAAUACAGAGGUCCCAAGCGUUGUUCGGAUUCACUGGGCGUAAAGGGUGCGUAGGUGGUGAGGUAAGUCGGAUGUGAAAUCUCCAGGCUCAACCUGGAAAUGGCAUUGGAAACUACCUUGCUAGAGGGUUUGAGGGGGGACUGGAAUACUUGGUGUAGCAGUGAAAUGCGUAGAUAUCAAGUGGAACACCAGUGGCGAAGGCGAGUCCCUGGAAAAUACCUGACACUGAGGCACGAAAGCUAGGGGAGCAAACAG